rnacentral:lncRNA from 1 species
AUUCCACCCCAUUGUGCCUUUAUUUAUAGUAGUAGGAUAGGUAAAAACAUUUCCCUUUAGGAUUACAACAUUCAAUAUGUAAUCAACUCCUAAUAGAAAUAUAAAAUACAUUCCCAUAUCUACUAGGAUUUACACAAUCACAUUCCUAAUCUAAUAGGACUGCAACACUCCCCCUUGAGUGUGUAAAUACUCAAGUAAAUGGUGCAUCAGGUCUUCAGUGAUGAAGUAAGUUCAGUUGAUGAAGUCGUCGACACAAUGAGUAAAUGCGAGUCUUAAAUCAACGAAAGAAUGCAUAAAAAGGUAAAACUCACAAAACCUCGCUAUGGUAAAACCCAAGGUGGGAGAAAAACCCAUAAUCUAAGGAGAAAAGUGAGGAGUUGCAUUAAGUCAAAACUA